rnacentral:rRNA from 1 species
ACGGCUCAGUAACACGUAGGUAACCUACCCUCAGGACUGAGAUAACCCCGGGAAACUGGGGCUMAUAUUAGAUAGAUAAAAGAUACUGGAAUGUUCUUUUAUCCAAAGCUUUUGCGCCUGAGGAUGKGCCUGCGUCCGAUUAGGUCGUUGGUGGGGUAAUGGCCCMCCAAGCCUGCGAUCGGUACGGGCAGUGGAAGMUGAAGCCCGGAGUUGGGGACUGAGACAAGKCCCCAGSCCCUACGGGGCGCAGCAGGCGCGAAACCUCUGCAAUGCGGGAAACCGUGACAGGGGGAUCCCAAGUSCUCAUGCAUUGCAUGGGYUGUUCUUUGGUYUAAGUAACCAGAGGAGUAAGUGCUGGGCAAGACCGGUSCCAGCCGCCGCGGUAAUACCGGCAGCUCAAGUGGUAGCCGCGAUUAUUGGGCCUAAAACGUUSGUASCCGGAUAAGUAAGUCUUUGGUUAAAUCCUGMGACUCAACCGUGGGAAUUCUAGAGAUACUGCUCGUCUUGAGACCGGGAGAGGUUGGAGGUACUCCUAGGGUAGGGGUGAAAUCCUGUAAUCCUAGGGGGACCACCUGUGGCGAAGGCGUCCAACUGGAACGGGUCUGACGGUGAGGGACGAAACCUAGGGGAGCGAGCCGGAUUAGAUACCCGGGUAGUCCUAGGCGUAAAUGAUGCGAGUUAKGUGUGGGGGCAUYUACGAGAUGSCCCUGUGCUGUAGGGUAGCCGUUAAWCUCGCUGCCUGGGAGUACG